CCCUUAGAUGUUCUGGGCCGCACGCGUGCUACACUGAGUGGAUCAGCGGGUCAGGUUGCGCGAAAGCGUUUCCUAAUCUUUAAAUCCGCUCGUGAUGGGGAUUGACGGUUGCAAUUUUCUGUCAUGAACGAGGAAUACCUUGUAAGCGCGGGUCAUCAUCCCGCGCUGAAUACGUCCCUGCCCUUUGUACACACCGCCCGUCGCUCCUACCGAUUGAGUGGUCCGGUGAGGCUUUGGGAUCUGAGCGGAAAGAGCGUUUCGCUGUUUCUGCUCGGAAAACUCAGUCGAACCUUAUCAUUUGGAGGAAGGAGAAGUCGUAACA
rnacentral:rRNA from 1 species